rnacentral:rRNA from 1 species
AUUGAACGCUGGCGGCAUGCUUUACACAUGCAAGUCGGACGGCAGCACAGAGAAGCUUGCUUCUUGGGUGGCGAGUGGCGAACGGGUGAGUAAUAUAUCGGCACGUACCGAGUAAUGGGGGAUAACUAAUCGAAAGAUUAGCUAAUACCGCAUAUUCUCUGAGGAGGAAAGCAGGGGACCUUCGGGCCUUGCGUUAUUCGAGCGGCCGAUCUCUGAUUAGCUAGUUGGUGGGGUAAAGGCCUACCAAGGCGACGAUCAGUAGCGGGUCCGAGAGGAUGAUCGGCCACACUGGGACUGAGACACGGCCCAGACUCCUACGGGAGGCAGCAGUGGGGAAUUUUGGACAAUGGGCGCAAGCCUGAUCCAGCCAUGCCGCGUGUCUGAAGAAGGCCUUCGGGUUGUAAAGGACUUUUGUCAGGGAAGAAAAGGCUGUUGCUAAUACCGACAGCUGAUGACGGUACCUGAAGAAUAAGCACCGGCUAACUACGUG